UACGUAGGGUGCGAGCGUUGUCCGGAAUUACUGGGCGUAAAGAGCUCGUAGGUGGUUUGUCGCGUUGUUCGUGAAAACUCACAACUCAAUUGUGGGCGUGCGGGCGAUACGGGCAGACUGGAGUACUGCAGGGGAGACUGGAAUUCCUGGUGUAGCGGUGGAAUGCGCAGAUAUCAGGAGGAACACCGGUGGCGAAGGCGGGUCUCUGGGAAGUAACUGACGCUGAGGAGCGAAAGCGUGGGGAGCGAACAGG
rnacentral:rRNA from 1 species